GACGAACCGUGCGAACGUUAUUCGGAAUCACUGGGCUUAAAGCGCGUGUAGGCGGAUGGGCGCAUCGAUCGCUGAAAGCCCCCGGCUCAACCGGGGAAGUGGCGUCGAGAUGGCCCGUCUCGAGGGGGGUAGGGGGACCUGGAACUUCCGGUGGAGCGGUGAAAUGCGUUGAGAUCGGAAGGAACGCCCGUGGCGAAAGCGAGGUCCUGGACCCUUUCUGACGCUGAGACGCGAAAGCCAGGGGAGCGAACGGG
rnacentral:rRNA from 1 species